UUCCAAUUCAUUAAAAAAAAAAAAAUCAAAAAAGAAAAACAAAAUCUACUAUAGAGACUCAAAUAUUAGAGCUCCAUCUUCAACUUGGUGAGCGCAGUGAACAAACACAACUGAACUCAUUCAUCAAUUUCUGGGUUUUUUCUCUCAGCCUUCAGGUAUUUUGCAGAUUAAUUUAGGAGAGAGAAAAUGGGAGGAGACGGUGGUCAUGUCGAUGGAGGAGACUUUAGGUCUAAGGUGUGGAGUUUUUCAGGUGGGCCCAAUUGCCGUCCCAAGCAUUGGCGUCGUAAUACCGUCUUCGCUCUCGCCGGCAUUUUUCUCGUUUGUGUUCCCAUUGCCAUGAAAUCUGCUCAGCUUGAGCAACGACCUCAUCAGCCUGUCCGCUCCAUUCCAUCACAGAUGUGGUGCAAGAACUUUGGGAACAAAGAUUAUUAGAGCUGCUUCAAUAUGUCAAUUCUGUACCGCAAAGUGUUUUAAUUCUUAAAUCAUGGACAAGUUUCUCUAUAAUAUUUUGCUCUUCAGCUGAGUAGCUCUGUAUGCUCACCUUUGAGGUAAUCUCAAUAAAAUUGAAAUUGAGUGGAUAAGCAUUGUUUUGUAGUUUACAUGAGAUGGAAACUCCUUUCUCUAUUCUGCCAGUUUUUAACAAUGUUUGGAAUGAUUCUCGAGCUGUAUAAUUGAAGUUUCAUAUUAUCUCUAUCAAUUUAGUUCA